rnacentral:lncRNA from 1 species
AAAAACCCUCCCCCUUUUUUACAAAAUACUAAAUAACUGAAAAAUAAAAUUUUGAAUCAUCACCAAAAAGUAUACAGAUUUUUAGAUUAAUAUAACAAAGAAGUGUGUAAAGUUUUAAGCAAUAAUCAAAAAUCGUUUUUGAGAUUCGGCGCGACAUGUAAAAACCCCCUUUCCCUUUUUUACAAAAUACUCAAUAACUCAAAAAUGAAAUUUUGAAUCAUCACCAAAAAGUAUACAGAUCUUAAGAUUAAUAUAACUAAGAAUUGUGUAAAGUUCUAAGCAAUAAUCAAAAAUCGUUUUUGAUAUACGGUGCGACAUGUGAAAAAAACACCCCCCUGUUGUAGUUACAAAGUGCCGUAACUCAUAAAGUU